rnacentral:rRNA from 1 species
CCUACGGGUGGCAGCAGUGAGGAAUAUUGGUCAAUGGACGAGAGUCUGAACCAGCCAAGUAGCGUGAAGGAUGACUGCCCUAUGGGUUGUAAACUUCUUUUAUAUGGGAAUAAAAUGUUCCACGUGUGGGAUUUUGUAUGUACCAUAUGAAUAAGGAUCGGCUAACUCCGUGCCAGCAGCCGCGGUAAUACGGAGGAUCCGAGCGUUAUCCGGAUUUAUUGGGUUUAAAGGGAGCGUAGGUGGAAUGUUAAGUCAGUUGGGAAAGUUUGGGGCUCAACCGUAAAAUUGCAGUUGAAACUGGCAGUCUUGAGUAAGGGAGAGGUAGGCGGAAUUCGUGGUGUAGCGGUGAAAUGCUUAGAUAGCACGAAGAACUCCGAUUGCGAAGGCAGCUCACUGGACUGCAACUGACACUGAGGCUCGAAAGUGUGGGUAUCAAACAGGAUUAGAUACCCGAGUAGUC